rnacentral:rRNA from 1 species
GGCGGCGUGCUAACACAUGCAAGUCGAACGAGAACGGAUAUUAGUUUACUAAUAUUGUCAGCUAAGUGGCGCACGGGUGAGUAAUAUAUAGUUAACCUGCCUCAAAGAAGGGAAUAAUUGUUGGAAACGACUUGUAAUGCCCUAUAUGCCUUUAUGACAAAAGUCAGCAAGGGAAAUAUUUAUAGCUUUGAGAUGGGGCUGUACGGUAUCAGAUAGUUGGUGAGGUAAUGGCUUACCAAGUCUAUGACGCCUAACUGGUUUGAGAGGAUGAUCAGUCACACUGGAACUGAGACACGGUCCAGACUCCUACGGGAGGCAGCAGUGGGGAAUAUUGCACAAUGGAGGGAACUCUGAUGCAGCAACGCCGCGUGGAGGAUGACACAUUUCGGUGCGUAAACUCCUUUUAUAUAAGAAGAUAAUGACGGUAUUAUAUGAAUAAGCACCGGCUAACUCCGUGCCAGCAGCCGCGGUAAUACGGGGGGUGCAAGCGUUACUCGGAAUCACUGGGCGUAAAGAGCAUGUAGGCUGGUAGAAAAGUUGGAAGUGAAAUCCUAUGGCUUAACCAUAGAACUGCUUCCAAAACUCUCUACCUAGAAUAUGGGAGAGGUAGAUGGAAUUUCUGGUGUAGGGGUAAAAUCCGUAGAGAUCAGAAGGAAUACCGAUUGCGAAGGCGAUCUACUGGAACAUUAUUGACGCUCAGAUGCGAAAGCGUGGGGAGCAAACAGGAUUAGAUACCCUGGUAGUCCACGCCCUAAACGAUGCACACUAGUUGUUGCCAUACUAGAUAUGGCAGUAAUGCAGUUAACACAUUAAGUGUGCCGCCUGGGGAGUACGGUCGCAAGAUUAAAACUCAAAGGAAUAGACGGGGACCCGCACAAGCGGUGGAGCAUGUGGUUUUAAU